AGACAGAGGGGGCGAACGUUGCUGGGAAUUACUGGGCGUAAAGCGCGUGUAGGCGGACUUGUAAGUCGAUUGUGAAAGCCCUGGGCUCAACCCAGGAACUGCAUUCGAAACUACAAGUCUUGAGUGGUGGAGAGGGAAGCGGAAUUCCUGGUGUAGAGGUGAAAUUCGUAGAUAUCGGGAGGAACACCAGCGGCGAAGGCGGCUUCCUGGACACCAACUGACGCUGAGACGCGAAAGCGUGGGGAGCAAACAGGAUUAGAAACCCUAGUAGUCC
rnacentral:rRNA from 1 species